rnacentral:rRNA from 1 species
UGGGGAAUAUUGCACAAUGGGCGCAAGCCUGAUCCAGCCAUGCCGCGUGCGGGAAGAAGGCCUUCGGGUUGUAAACCGCUUUUGUCAGGGAAGAAAUCUUCUGAGUUAAUACCUCGGGAGGAUGACGGUACCUGAAGAAUAAGCACCGGCUAACUACGUGCCAGCAGCCGCGGUAAUACGUAGGGUGCAAGCGUUAAUCGGAAUUACUGGGCGUAAAGCGUGCGCAGGCGGUUUUGUAAGACAGAGGUGAAAUCCCCGGGCUCAACCUGGGAACUGCCUUUGUGACUGCAAGGCUUGAGUGCGGCAGAGGGGGGAUGGAAUUCCGCGUGUAGCAGUGAAAAUGCGUAGAUAUGCGGAGGAAACACCGAUGGCGAAGGCAAUCCCCUGGGCCUGCACUGACGCUCAUGCACGAAAGCGUGGGGAGCAAAACAGGGUUAGAUACCCUGGGUAGUCCCACGCCCUAAAACGAUGUCAACCGGUUGUUGGGGAAGGUUUCCCUUCUCAGUAACGUAGCUAACGCGUGAAGUUGACCGCCUGGGGGAGUACGGCCGCAA